UACGUAGGGCGCAAGCGUUUGUCCGGAUUUAUUGGGCGUAAAGAGCUCGUAGGCGGCUCGUUGCGUCGGCUGUGAAAACCCGCAGCUCAACUGUGGGCUUGCAGCUGAUACGGGCGGGCUAGGAUUCGGGUAGGGGGAGACUGGAAUUCCUGGUGUAGCGGUGAAAUGCGCAGAUAUCAGGAGGAACACCGAUGGCGAAGGCGGUCUCUGGGCCACUACUGACGCUGAGAAGCGAAAGCAUGGGGAGCGAACAGG
rnacentral:rRNA from 1 species